rnacentral:misc_RNA from 1 species
CUCAUCUCCAUGUAUUUCAAAGUUUAUAUUUAUUUAAAAGUGAAAACUUUAUGCAAUUUUAACAAGGUGUAAACAUUGUAUCCGUUGAUUUCCAUUACGCAUUUAUAUUUUAUGUUGAAAAAUAGUAGAUCUGAUGUCAAAUUCAUUCCAUUAUUUUAUUCAAAUAAAUUUUAACCAAUCGUU